CAUAAACAGAUGUCGUUAAGAUCUUUUAAUCAAAUAACAUCCAAAUUAUACAAGACGCGUAUUUUUUAUAUGUAUUACAUAUUCAUUGUUUUAUUGUGACAUCUCAACAGAUCAAAAUAUUUAUGUCUGAGUGUUCCAUAAAAAUCGUUGCGCAACUGUAUUAUCGUUCAUUGCGUACUAAGAAAUUCUGAUAAACGUCAGUGCUAAAAAAAUAUGGGAAACAAGCACCAGUAACAAUAAAUGACAAGACAUAACGAUGCUUUCCUAUCGCGUUGAAAAACAUUACAAAAUGUACAGAGGUAUCGCAACACAUAAAUAACGAAUGUACAGUUUAACGUAAAACACGAGCAAAUUAUCAUUAUCUAUUUACUCCAAUAACAAAUGCAACGAAUAGUCAACGCACAGUAGAAAUUCAGGGGUCCCUUUUCUGUUGAGUGUCAUAAGGGAAUGGCCCUUAAAAUCAAUUGUUCUCGUCGAAAGAUCAUCUACAUUGACACUUGUAAACUAUAACUAUCAUUACUUAAAAAAAUUAAUGAUGCAAGUAUGUCUUCACGAUUGAGAAAAAAAAACGCAAAAAGAAAUUAAUCGACCUAUACUUUCUAAAUAAUUCCACAGUGUCAUUGGACUCAACGCUGACUUGCUCUGAAAAUACACUGCGACCUGGCGAGCAUGCGACGAAACAAGGUUAUUCCACGCUCGUGUCUAACUACGAGUUCUUUUAUUACGACCUAUCUUCCAGGAAUAUUGAUUUUCAAACCCUGAUGAAGCAAGCUGUUGUAUUUACCAAAACAUCGGAAAGUUAAAACUUCCAGGGGCGACUCCAGCUCCGAAUCCAAUUCUAACAAUAUGUACAAUAGCCACGAUAACCUCAAAACUACAGAAAGUAGAGAUGACCAGCGAUAUUAAAAGAAUGUCAUUGUGCCAUGACAAGCGGAAGAGAACGUUAAAAUGAUGCCAAUAAAUUAUUCCUACAAAUCGAGGGCAACGAACCGUUGCAUCAUUGACGGAGUUCUAGAUCUACGGUAUACGCCUAGGCGUGGAUAGUAUGUAAUAAGUGCAAAUACAUAAUACAGAGCAAACAUACUGAACACAGUAAUGGACAAACAGGUCGACCCAGCUAGUGAACGUUACGUCACCCUUCGACCAACACAAGAUCCGCCAGACAUGCUUCGUUAUGACAACAAUGGCAGAGUGAAGGCCGCCUCGCAUCUUGCUGUAGGAUACAGACAAAGGUAACUAAGCUGAGUAAACGAUUUACUCAAUGAGUAAUCGUACGUUGAAAAAACAUAAUCGAGCAGGUCACUUUGUUAAACGACAUUUCAACUGUAAAAAUUCCAAGUAUACCGACUCACGUACUAUUCCAACUUUUCUCAAUGAUCAUAAAUAAUACUCGCUGAGAAGAACCAGGUGGUCCGAAACCUUCAGAGUAUAUAAACUACUUUUAAAAAAUGUUAACGUCACAUAAACAAGUAUCAAUGCCUAAGAUCUACAUAGGAAUCUUAUUAUCAAUGCCUAACAGUCAAUUGUGUACCAAAUUAUUCAGUUGCAAAAGUACCACUUGAAGUUAGCGUCUUGAUUCGAACCCUAUGGUAAAACCAUGUUCAGUUGAUAAAUUUGAUCCGAAUAAACAGAUAUAAAAUAAUCGCACUGAUUUCUGAGAAUUCGAAAUGUUUUGACUUGUCAAAGCCAACGGUAUAGUUAAAGUCUUUAUCGUAUGACAAUUUCUAUAUCUGAUAACAAGAAGACUUAUCGUGACACCAGACAUACCCGGUUAACCGAUAACGUAAGAGAUAAGCCAGUCGUAACAAAACAAAGUACUGAAAAAUAAAGGACCAUUAUUAAAAAGCAACGUAUAUGCAUGUCUGAAAGUCGAAACGAAGUCUAGUCUGUUACCCAUUGAGGUUAUGUAUUUUUAUCUCGUUGAAUUUACACGGUUUAAUACAAUAUUUACAGGUCUUGCAACGACUCGUAAUCGUAAAAUACAGCGAGCAGUUUUUGUAACAGCAUUGAAAAUCAAACGGUACAUUUAUGGGAAAAAUAUUUAGCGACGGAACGACCUUCAACCUCUAUCAGAUAUAUCCUGUCAGCUGUGCGUGUUGUGUGCUAAAAUAAAUGCUCAUAAUAAUAAUUAUAUAGAACUUGUAUAUAUAAAUGUUUACUGAAAAAUCAUCAAUUCAGUGCUUACGUAAGUCUAAUGGGGAUUCAGCGUCCCGACGCUUCUGUAUCAAAAUAACAGGCUCGUCCUGUCAACAAGGUAAGUUCUCGCGACACGUGUAAUUACAAUUAUUUAGCAUUGAAUUCUUUGUCGAAGAAACAAAUUAUGCAUCGCAGCGCCUUGACGAAUUGCAAUGGGCUUUUUUAACACGGUCGACAAUAAUAAAAACGGGAGAAGACUUGAUAAACACAGGAAGCUUCCCAACGUAUUUUACAGAUGUAAAUUAUUGGAUAUGCAUUCAUAUAUGUACAAAGCGGUCAUGGACAUUUAAAGACACGUACUGUUCGUAGGUAAACAAUUUUGUAUUUAUUAGACAGUUUAACGCGAUAAAGUAUACAUGAAACAGCAGACGCAUAAGAGAGCCGGUAAGUAUGCUUAAGUACAGAAGGUAUAAUUACGGGAAAAAAAGUACAACCUACGUAUUCAUUAAACUGGAAACCUUCUGUUGGUUUAAUGCUUAAAAUAGUAGCGAGCACUUUUAUUGAUUAAGGGAAGUAAUCGGAUUGAGAACUCCGAUAGGUCUGCAAAUGGGAUAAAAACGUCUGUGCCAAUAAGAAGAUUGACAAUGAAGAUUGAACCAUGUUCUACUUCGAUUUGCAGCCAAGUUGAACUAAGUACUGGGUGUGUACAAAAGCAGAACUAGUACAGUUUUAUAAUUACCCUGCACACGUGCGAGAAAAAAAUUUCUAAAUUGAUCUUGGAUACAAAGUUCAUACGCGUGACUGGCAAGCUGUUGAAAUUUUUCUUGGAAUUAACCCGUGGAAAGUUACUGGGACUUGUACCAUUGAAAACCCCUAUAGCCCCUACCCGCACGCUUCGUUUCUUUCAUCCCCCUUUUUCCCCCUGACCGUGGGAUUUCAAAAAUAUACGUUACAGCGGCAGCGUCUCUAUGCGGUUAGAAUGUAAACUGAAUUCGAAUAUGGUCUUUUGCGUUUUAGAAAAAUGAUAUUGAAAACGAGAUAUUCAAUUGCUAUGAGUCAUCUUUCAAUUGCCAUUCAAUGAUCAAUAUUCUCCAGUGUCUAUAGAUACUUAAGCGUCUGUAUGGAAGCAUUCAAGCGACAGGUUAUCACUGGGACAAAGAAGAAUGACACUGGGACUUUUUUCUAUUGUCGUUAUUUUAUUAUGAAAAAUUUUUGGGGUGUAACGAAUGAAUGUUAGAGAGUAUCGAUGCAUGGACGCGUUUGGCUUUUUAUGUUUCUGAUACUCGUGAGUAUGAGUUGAAUUUAAUGUGUUCAAUAUUCGAGAAAAAAUUGGUUUUACUAGUGACUCAUGUUGCUUGUAAAUUUUGACAUCUUGAGGCUGCGUAAGAGUUAAGAAGAUAGUGUUUUGAUUCCAAGGUCCACGUGUACUUGGAAAUUACAGAAAUGACAUUCUACGUAAUUUUAAUAUUUGCGAUUCUGGGCGCAGCUGUCGUUGUAGAUUGUUAGAAGAUGAGCUGACAUUGUAUCGAAAUGACAUUGUCCUUAACUAUGAUCUUGCCCUUUCAUCACGCUGGGUCUUUGACGCGUGUCUGCAAAAGUUUCUCAAGUUAGCCUGAAAACUCAAAUCUUUGUAAUUUUUUGUAAUUGAAAAAUUUUUCCUGUUUGGAACUUUUUUCGCUUUUAUAUUUCACGUUCAGUUAUACGCUAUGAAUAAUUCCACUGAAUUUAUGUAUUUCACGCUUGAUACCUAUAUUAGGUACACAAUAUUAAUCCAAUAAUUCAGCUCAGUUGUGUGUUCUUGAUGUAAGAAACCGAGUUGAGUGAGUUAUUUUGAUAAUAAAAAAACUUGUGAAAUUGGAGAAAAGGAAAAAGUACAUUAAAGAAGUUAACAAAAAAUAAACAGAUACGAUGUUCAUUGGCGCUCAUGUGAUAUUUUGUUCAAUCGCUCUAAUCUGUAACUGGAAGUUGAUUAUCGUUAAACAUGUAUUUUGGCAAUAGACCAACGCACUGCCUCGUUCCGUGUGAGUCUUCUUCGGUGUGAAUUAGUUUUUAGAAUUUUCUUUUUUUGAACAGACAAAAUUCUCGGCAGUCUGAAUUUCGCACUACCGCCUUUUUUCGCCUUCUAAAAUAGUCGUAGAAAAGUCUUGUAAAGGGGAGAGGAAAAAGAACCGUGACGUGACCCAUUUUUCGCAAUUUGCAAAAAUCUAUGCUAAAACUGUUAUCGGAUAAUUCUUUGACCACUUACAUGGUAGAGGUAUUUUAAAAAUGAAUUUAGAUUGUACAUUUUCUUGUGAAUUAUCAUACGAUUAAUUGACUAGAUAAAAAAAGGUCAGUAUGGUAAACAAAGAAUGUUCAUGAUCCAACAAUUAAUAAUAUAUUCGACAUUAUCGUUUUCUAUUGGAAAAAUGCGCAUUAAAUUAAAAAUAAAACAGAAACGUGGUUGUUUUUAUUUUUAUAUAUGUUAGUCGAGUCUAAUAAUUAUAUGAUUUAUCAAAUGUGUUAAUAUACUUUCACAAAUAUAUUUGGAAAUUUAGGGUAAAAAAUCCCAUUUUUUUAUCGUUCUGAGUUCUUUGCAGAAUCAGAUAUAACAAUAAUUUCUCGCUGUUCUAAUGUUCUUUAUAAACUCUAAAUAGGCAGCGAAAUGCGAAUACAACCGAGAUAUAGGGAUUUGGCAUUUCUUUAUUACUUCAGAAUAUAAAAUGCUUUUAAUUCUCCAAUAUAAUUUUAUACAAUGGAAUUCUAACCUUCCGUACCAAAUAUAUAUAUAUAUAUAUAUAUAUAUAUAUAUAUAUAUAUAUAUAUAUAUAUAUAUAUGUAUAGAAUAUAUCUGUAUAGCUAUACAAGCCCCAGGCUCUAGUGAUGUAAGCAUGUGAGUUUAUAGCGGUGACUGUUUCGCUUUUCUAUCUUACUUUAUUGUACGUCGGAUGCAUACCUGCAUCUCUGGGGCCACGGCAAUUCCUAGCACGUACAAAUGCGAAAGCCCCUCAAACAAUGAGUCAAAC